rnacentral:misc_RNA from 1 species
GAUGAAGAACGUAGCGAAAUGCGAUAAGUAAUGUGAAUUGCAGAAUUCAGUGAAUCAUCGAAUCUUUGAACGCACAUUGCGCCCUAUGGUAUUCCGGGGGGCAUGCCUGUUCGAGCGUCAUUAUAACCACUCAAGCUCUCGCUUGGUAUUGGGGUUCGCGGUUUCGCGGCCCCUAAAAUCAGUGGCGGUGCCUGUCGGCUCUACGCGUAGUAAUACUUCUCGCGAUUGAGUUCGAUAGGUCUACUUGCCAGUAACCCCCAAUUUUUACAGGUUGACCUCGGAUCAGGUAGGGAUACCCGCUGAACUUAAGCAUAUCAAUAAGCGGAGGA